AGUGAACGCUGGCGGUAGGCCUAACACAUGCAAGUCGAACGGCAGCACAGUAAGAGCUUGCUCUUACUGGUGGCGAGUGGCGGACGGGUGAGGAAUACAUCGGAAUCUACUUUUUCGUGGGUGAUAACGUAGGGAAACUUACGCUAAUACCGCAUACGACCUACGGGUGAAAGCAGUGGAUCUUCUGACCUUGCGCGAUUGAAUGAGCCGAUGUCGGAUUAGCUAGUUGGCGGGGUAAAGGCCCACCAAGGCGACGAUCCGUAGCUGGUCUGAGAGGAUGAUCAGCCACACUGGAACUGAGACACGGUCCAGAAGCCUACGGGAGGCAGCAGUGGGGAAUAUUGGACAAUGGGCGCAAGCCUGAUCCAGCCAUACCGAGUGGGUGAAGAAGGCCUUCGGGUUGUAAAGCCCUUUUGUUGGGAAAGAAAAGCAGCAGGUUAAUACCCCGCUGUUCUGACGGUACCCAAAGAAUAAGCACCGGCUAACUUCGUG
rnacentral:rRNA from 1 species